rnacentral:rRNA from 1 species
GACGAACGCUGGCGGCGUGCUUAACACAUGCAAGUCGAGCGGUAAGGCCCUUUCGGGGGUACACGAGCGGCGAACGGGUGAGUAACGCGUGGGUGACCUGCCCUCAGCUCUGGGAUAAGCCUGGGAAACCGGGUCUAAUACCGGAUAUGACUCCAUGACGCAUGUUGUGGGGUGGAAAGCCUUGUGCGGCUGAGGAUGGGCCCGCGGCCUAUCAGCUUGUUGGUGGGGUGAUGGCCUACCAAGGCGACGACGGGUAGCCGGCCUGAGAGGGCGACCGGCCACACUGGGACUGAGACACGGCCCAGACUCCUACGGGAGGCAGCAGUGGGGAAUCUUGCGCAAUGGGCGAAAGCCUGACGCAGCGACGCCGCGUGUGGGAUGACGGCC